CUCUAGAUAGCUCAGUUGGAAGAGCGACGGACUGUAAUAGUACAAGACAUCCGCAGGUCGAGGGUUCGACUCCCUCUCUGGAGA
rfam:Pseudomassariella vexata strain CBS 129021 BCR38scaffold_23, whole genome shotgun sequence.